AGGCCCGUAGCUCAGCUGGAAGAGCGCCGGUCUCCAAAACCGGUGGUCGUCGGUUCGAACCCGGCCGGGCCUGCCA
rnacentral:tRNA from 1 species